rnacentral:rRNA from 1 species
AUACGUAGGUGGCGAGCGUUAUCCGGAUUUACUGGGUGUAAAGGGCGCGUAGGCGGGGGCGCAAGUCAGGUGUGAAAUCUAUGGGCUUAACCCAUAAACUGCACUUGAAACUGCAUCUCUUGAGUGCUGGAGAGGUAGAUGGAAUUCCUUGUGUAGCGGUGAAAUGCGUAGAUAUAAGGAAGAACACCAGUGGCGAAGGCGAUCUACUGGACAGUAACUGACGCUGAGGCGCGAAAGCGUGGGGAGCAAACAGGAUUAGAUGCCCUGGUAGUCCACGCUGUAAACGAUGAAUACUAGGUGUGGGGGGACUGACCCCCUCCGUGCCGCAGUUAACACAAUAAGUAUUCCACCUGGGGAGUACGGCCGCAAGGUUGAAACUCAAAGGAAUUGACGGGG